rnacentral:misc_RNA from 1 species
GGAGUGAUCGCCGGCGUUGUGCUCAUCGAUGAAUCGCAGGUUGUCUUUGAAGAUCUGGAAGCGGCGCUCCUUUUCGCCGAGGGCGUUGGAGGCGGCGGCGGCUCCGCCGCCGUGCUGGGCGAGCCAGCCGUCGUAGAGGAGACGGAGCUCUUCGUCGGUGCGGGCGAGGCCGCGGGAGGGGUGCGUCUCGCCGUAGGAGAUGAUGGACAUGUCCGGCGAGGCGGCGGAGAGGGCGGCGGCGGCUAAGAAGGUGAGGAGGAGGAGGAGAGAGGGGGCGGCCAUGGUGGGUGAGAA